rnacentral:rRNA from 1 species
GAUUGAACGCUGGCGGCAUGCUUUACACACGCAAGUCGAACGGCAGCGCGGGCUUCGGCCUGGCGGCGAGUGGCGAACGGGUGAGUAAUACAUCGGAACGUGCCCAGUAGUGGGGGAUAGCUCGGCGAAAGCCGGAUUAAUACCGCAUACGACCUGAGGGUGAAAGCGGGGGAUCUUCGGACCUCGCGCUAUUGGAGCGGCCGAUGGCAGAUUAGCUAGUUGGUGGGGUAAAGGCCUACCAAGGCGACGAUCUGUAGCUGGUCUGAGAGGACGACCAGCCACACUGGGACUGAGACACGGCCCAGACUCCUACGGGAGGCAGCAGUGGGGAAUUUUGGACAAUGGGCGAAAGCCUGAUCCAGCAAUGCCGCGUGUGUGAUGAAGGCCUUCGGGUUGUAAAGCACUUUUGGCGGGAACGAAAAGGACUGUGCCAAUACCACGGUUCGAUGACGGUACCCGCAGAAUAAGCACCGGCUAACUACGUG